AAUCGGAGCCACGAAGUCGUUUCGUUGUUUAGUCUGGAUCAGGUUCAGCGGGGGUCGAGAGGCCCCCGUGUAUUCCUGGGUCUGGCCAAACCUUGUAAGCGUACACUGCAACCAGUUAGACGAUCAGCAGUGGGCAUAGUGUUUGAGUUUAGCCAGCAAUGGAUGAGCUCUUAUACGAAGCAAUUGUUUGAUUGGGCUAGUAGUAGCGCGGUUGUGCUUCGGCAUUUCUCGUGUUGCUGGGCCCUUUUGAGUGAACUACAGCUGAAUACUGACUGGCGAAAUGAAAAUCGCCCUUGUGGCGUUAGAGACAAAGCAACUGACCGGAUGCGGGCCUACAUGUUCGACUGUUGGGUCUAAGCUUGGCGCUUUUGAAUUCAGACUUGCUUGCUACCAGUGGGGCAACUCCUGGUGCUUGUAUAGCUUCUGUCUAAUCGGGCGUCGACUUGGCCUAGCAUUGUUCGGAUGUGCUACGAUUGGGCUUGUAUGCGAGCUGGUUCGCAAUGUUAAU
rnacentral:rRNA from 1 species